rnacentral:rRNA from 1 species
CCCAUAUGGUCGACCUGCAGGCGGCCGCGAAUUCACUAGUGAUUCGUAUACCGCGGGUGCUGGCACGUAGUUAGCCGGUGCUUCUUCUGCAGGUACCGUCACAAAAAGCUUCGUCCCUGCUGAAAGCGGUUUACAACCCGAAGGCCGUCAUCCCGCACGCGGCGUUGCUGCAUCAGGCUUGCGCCCAUUGUGCAAUAUUCCCCACUGCUGGCUCCCGUAAGAGUCUGGGCCGUAUCUCAGUCCCAAUGUGGCCGGUCACCCUCUCAGGCCGGCUACCCGUCGCCGCCUUGGUAGGCCACUACCCCCCAACAAGCUGAUAGGCCGCGAGUCCAUCCACAACCGCCGGAGCUUUCCAACCCCCACCAUGCAGCAGGAGCACAUAUCCAGUAUUAGCACCAGUUUCCUAGCGUUAUCCCAAAGUUGUGGGCAGGUUACUCACGUGUUAUCACCCGUUCGCCACUCGUUACCCCCGAAAGGGCCUUACCGUACGACUUGCAUGUGUUAAGCACGCCCCCCGCGUUCGUCCUGAGCCAUGAUCAAACUCUAAUCGAAUUCCCGCGGCCGCCAUGGCGGCCGGGAGCAUGCGAC